CACUCGGAAGCCGUUCUGCUGCGAGUCAUUAAACAAACGAUUAUCCCUCUUCAUUCAUUUACCCUUCGGAGUGCGCAUAUACGAGAAAUACUGUUCCCUUUAUAUCAGAUACUCAAAACCGAAAAACACAAAACCCGCUGUUUCACACUGCGGGUUUUGUGU
rnacentral:antisense_RNA from 1 species